GUGGGCAAAAUGCUUGCUGGAUAUGUUUAAGUCUCAAUACAUGAGCACUUCUGAUGCAAUGUAGUAAAACUUGCCAGGGCUAGGAGAAGCCUAAAAAUUAGGAUCAGAAAUCGGUACAUUGCUAGAGAUCACAAUUUUCAGUAUGUUUUAUUACACGACCAAGGCAGCGUUUGCCACCGGUGCUGAAACUCAUUCCAAACCACAGCACAAGGAAAAAAAUAAGUCUUGGUUAGCAUGUUGGUGAAUCAAAAUUCGUUGCUGAUUGUUUACUACUUGGCCGUCAAAAAAA
rnacentral:lncRNA from 1 species